GAUGAAGAACGCAGCGAAAUGCGAUAAGUAGUGUGAAUUGCAGAAUUCAGUGAAUCAUCGAAUCUUUGAACGCACAUUGCGCCCCUUGGUAUUCCAUGGGGCAUGCCUGUUCGAGCGUCAUUUGUACCUUCAAGCUCUGCUUGGUGUUGGGUGUUUGUCUCGCCUCUGCGCGUAGACUCGCCUCAAAACAAUUGGCGGCCGGCGUAUUGAUUUCGGAGCGCAGUACAUCUCGCGCUUUGCACUCAUAACGACGACGUCCAAAAGUACAUUUUUACACUCUUGACCUCGGAUCAGGUAGGGAUACCCGCUGAACUUAAGCAUAUCAAUAAGCGGAGGA
rnacentral:misc_RNA from 1 species